UAGCUAAGAUACGAUAAUAUUACAAUCAUGUGGUGCACUUUUAUAUUCCAAACUAAAAAAGUGGCAGCCAUAUUAUGUACGGGCCAAUUAUAACAUCAUCAAAACAAGGAGGGACGAUGGCAAGUAGGAGUGGAGUGGGUGCGGCCCAGAAAUGCCAUUUGCUGCCUCCCGAAACUUUUUCCUCUUAUUGCAGCUGUCGGACCCGAGGUACUUUGCGUUGGUAACUUAUGGAUACGACGGAAGAAGGAGCAGAAAGCAACGACAGCAGGGGAAACUAUUUGCUCCACACAAUUUCUGCAAUAUGGCGAUAGCUAUGCCAGGACGAUGAAGUCCUCCCUUCGUCCUUCUCCAAGCUUGGAGCCUGACUUGGGUCCGGACGACGGAGUCUAAGUGGAACUACAUACAUAUAUGCAUGGCCAACUGGGGCUGUGGCUUUCACAGGCAGCCAACCAAAAGGGCGGGUGGUUUUUGGAAUUUUAAUAAAAUUGCAGCAUUGCCAACUAAAGAUA